rnacentral:rRNA from 1 species
GAUGAACGCUGGCGGCGUGCCUAAUACAUGCCAGUCGAGCGAACGGACGAGAAGCUUGCUUCUCUGAUGUUAGCGGCGGACGGGUGAGUAACACGUGGAUAACCUACCUAUAAGACUGGGAUAACUUCGGGAAACCGGAGCUAAUACCGGAUAAUAUUUUGAACCGCAUGGUUCAAAAGUGAAAGACGGUCUUGCUGUCACUUAUAGAUGGAUCCGCGCUGCAUUAGCUAGUUGGUAAGGUAACGGCUUACCAAGGCAACGAUGCAUAGCCGACCUGAGAGGGUGAUCGGCCACACUGGAACUGAGACACGGUCCAGACUCCUACGGGAGGCAGCAGAAGGGAAUCUUCCGCAAUGGGCGAAAGCCUGACGGAGCAACGCCGCGUGAGUGAUGAAGGUCUUCGGAUCGUAAAACUCUGUUAUUAGGGAAGAACAUAUGUGUAAGUAACUGUGCACAUCUUGACGGUACCUAAUCAGAAAGCCACGGCUAACUACGUG